CCGGCGUGGGAGGUGGGGGCUGCUGGGCUCUGGGGCUGGUCCUGGGGCUGCAGCCCUCGCCCUGCCCCGGGGCAGCCGUGCAGGGAGGCUCCCAGGGCUCGGGCUGCAGCCCUGCCGUGCUUUCUCCCAACCGAACGUGUGUCUUUCAUCGCCGAAUAAAUAACUCCCCUGGCAUGCCGGGCUCCCUGCCAGCAGCCUGGGCUGGUCCUGGCACGCUGGGGCUUCACCUGCAGCCGUCGUGUCGGGGCGCAGGCAGGCUCUGAGCCGGCGUGCCGGGGCAGGGGCCGCGGCUCUGGUGGCCUUCCCUCGUGGGCAGCCGUGGGAGCCCCAGGCGGAGCUGCCUGCCCUCGGGGAGGGCUUUCCCUGCCUCCCCCAGGCAGGGCUUAGCCCCAGGCCUGGGCUGCAGCCAGCUGGGGCAGGCAGGGAGGGGAUCCCUGCCCUGCCAGGACGGGAGGAACAGCUCAGAGCUCUCCUUGGGCCAGCCCAGGGAGAGGAAAGCAGCCCCAGAGCGGGACACCUCCAGAGCAGUGUCAGGCACCCCGAAAGCCGUUGCAGGGACACAGCCAGAGCUGGGAUUUCCUGGCUCAGAGCUCAGAGGGGCUCGGUGCCUCUUGGCACGGCCCCUGCCAGGCUCUGUGUCUGUGAGCUUCCAGCGGGAAGCAGGGCUGGAGGGAUCCAGGGAUGGUUAUCCACGGGCACUUGAUGGGGCAAGGUGUGAAGGCAGGUGAGGACCAGGACCUGCUGUGCCCCUGCAGGACCCAGCUCUGCUGCCACCACCCACUCUGGGGGGGAUGUCACCUCAUCCUGGGGCUGCAGCCCCCAGAGCCCAUCUGGUGAGGUCCCCAAGCAGGAGCUGUGCCCCCUCCCCAGCCCUGCCUGGCCUGGGAGCCUGGAUGUGCCUGCAGGGGCUCCGUGGGGAGAGGGGAGGAAGGGGCAGAGCAGAGCAGCUCCUUGCUUCCUCCCAGUCUCUUGGACCGGCAGGGGAGGAAGGAAUCAAACUCCACCUUUUCCCCCUUUUCAAAGGGAAAGAGCGGCGACAUUUGACACAGGUCCCAGCUCUGGUAGAGCACGGUGCCCUUCUCCCUGCCUUCCUGCCCUUUGCCAUGCCCUCCUGCCCUCCUUUGUCCCCUUCUGCCCUUCCCUGGCAGGGAUGUGUCUGGGGAAUUCCUCUUGGGAACUCUGACCCCUGCACCAGGGGAGUCCCUGGAUGGGGCAUUCCCAGACAGCAGGAUGGAUGGGACACUGCCCUGCAGGUGACAGAGGGCCUGAGGUAGGAUCUCACCCAUUGUGCUGGUGGCCUCUGGGGGG
rnacentral:lncRNA from 12 species